UACGUAGGGGGCAAGCGUUGUCCGGAAUCAUUGGGCGUAAAGAGCGUGUAGGCGGCCAGAUAAGUCCGCUGUGAAAUCUCGAGGCUCAACUUCGAGCUGUCGGUGGAAACUGUCUGGCUAGAGUCCGGAAGAGGAGAAUGGAAUUCCUGGUGUAGCGGUAAAAUGCGCAGAUAUCAGGAGGAACACCGGUGGCGAAGGCGGGUCUCUGGGCCGAAACUGACGCUGAGGAGCGAAAGCGUGGGGAGCGAACAGG
rnacentral:rRNA from 1 species